UCAGAUAUUUGAAUGCUAUGA
rnacentral:piRNA from 1 species